GUGAAGUGAAGCCAAAGCUGCUUCUUUUUAACGAAACAUCCAUCUAUUUAUAACGCUGUAAGUCAAAGGCUAGGAAGGAGCUUACUGAGACACCAGGGGCUGUGAGAAUGAAGACGUGAAAACUGGUCUGUGCAAGGGUAAGCAUUACAUUGACAAUACAACUGCAAACAGGGCCAUGGUAAAGAUUAGGGAUGCAUGAUCAUGACUAUGAUUCAAAAAUAGAGAAAUAUUUAUGGAUCAUUUUUCAUUUUAAUUAUCUUUUACUAACUUAUUCCUGAUCAUGUAGCAGAAACACUCAGUUUAAUAUGAAAGAGUACCCGAUAUAAACAACUGGAGGUAUUUGCUUAGUCCUCUGGUGACAGGCUGCAGUAUAGGUCAUAAAUCCCGCCUCCGCCAGCAAAGCUUGUGGGGCUGUGGACAAACUUCAGAAAUUUAUUACAAAGAACAUACAUUUUUCUCCCCCCUGCUUGUGAUGUUGACAUGUAGUUACUGUACGACUAGUUUGUGCUCAAGUCCUCUUUUUUCUGUACAGCUCCAUUUUUGAAGUUAUUAGGGGGUCAUGUUUUCUAUGAUUGACACCUGAUACAGCCUAUGGGCGUACAAGGUGUGCGUAGCUCACCCGGGGGAUACGCUGUUUGAGCCGAGCGUCAUCACAGCAACUCUUGGCGACUCUCCCGCGGAAUGCAAACAAUGCUACUGUGCAAUGUUGGUUCCAGGAAAUGGAGAGAAAACGCUGAAUUACACAGAAAUUUUUGGCUUCAAAUCCAUAUACUGGCGGAAGGCGGAGCCAAGUUGUCCAUAGAAUAUACAGUCAAUGCUUAUAUCCACUUAAGGUCCCACCCCGAUCUUUUUUUUUAUACCUAAAGUGUUCUCAGUGUUCUUUAAGUGGUGAUUAUUAAGUUUUUAGCCAUAAUCACGUUACUUGUGUCAUUUUUAAGGGCCUUUCUUCUGCAGAGCUCCAGUAGCUCAUUAGCAAUUCUCCUCUGAGUUGUGGGCGGAGACAGAGCUCCGGGGGACGGAGCUUGGAUUUGCUAUGUAGGAAAUCUCACUCUGUCUGAACCUGCCGUUUGGGUCUGCCAGAGGUUCACAGCGAUUUGAAUGAAGGAAUACGCAGAAAUGCAAUUUCAUACUUAUUUUUCCUCAUGAUAUGUCCUGUAGCAUCAGAAAAAUGCCAUAUGAACAUGUAGACAACAAGAAAAACAUGAUUUUCAUCAGAAUGGGUCUUUAACAAACCUAAACAGUUCACAGUAGGCAAUAUAAACAGAGAUGGAGAGCAACGAGCUGACAGUAGAGUAAAAAAUUUGUGUCACUGCAGAUGAGAAUAACACAGUUGCAACUUACAUACCAUGUGGCUCAAGUAUUUAACUGGAGGGGAAAGGCCCUUAUAUUUUAACAUAAGCAUUUUAAGAUGCCUAAAAAGUAAUCUCAUUGUUGCGAUGAAGAUGUAGACGCCGCAGUGGCUGCACAGCUAGCAUUAGUACUGCAAUAAGAUGAGUGCUGAGUCAGCAGGCAUUUAACUACUGCAGAAAGUUCACUAUAAGACCAUCAAAAGGCAAAUACUACCGGUCAUGAGUAUCAGCCUGUAAAAAGCCCAGUGAGAGAUGGAAGAAUGGGAUAUCAGUUAUGGCAAUGGAGCAGGCAUUGGAAUAUGCUAAAGAGGAGUCAAAGGAGAGAUAUAGAGGAAGAACUGAUAGAUGGAGGGAAACCAGAGCCGAUAAGUCAAACCUUGAAGUGACGGAUUCACAGCCUUCAUUUCCCUUUCAUAAAAACAGAGGAGCGGAUGGAUUCACCUUGGACAGGAUUUAUCAGUGUGUGAGGGUUGCAUGUGUGUCAGUGCCACAGUGUUGUAUAGUAAAGUGUAAACAGUACAACUUGAGGUGUUCUUAUCUGCUGUGAUAAACACAGUUUCCCAUGUUUCUAUCGUGGCCAUUUGCCUGAUUACGCUCAGUUUUAAGAGCAAAGUCAAACUGUUUUAUACGUAGUUAGAAGUUUCAAGAAUGGGAUGUUUCUGAGAAAUCACUGCCUUUCCAGUGCUUGAUGGAUCAGCAACUGAAAGACAGUUUACAUAGAAACCGUCUGGUGACAUUUCUUUAUUGCUGUUUUAUACAGUAGCUUAAAAGGUAGAGCAGCCGUCCAAUAACUGGAAGGUUAGCGGUUCAAUUCCCCCCUAUCCCCUAGUCUGUCCUUGUCUCCUUGUGCAAGAUGCUUAAUCCACCUUGCUCCCAGUGUUUUUCCACCACUGGUGUAUGAUUGUGAGUGAUGUGUGGUGGUGGUCGGAGAGGCCGUAGGCAGCUGUGACUAUGAAGGUAGUUUACCACCACCAGGGUGUGACUGUGUGAGCGAAUGAGUGAUGUAUCCAAUGUAAAGCACUUUGAGGGUCGCUUAUAAAGGGUUGUACAAAAUCUAAUGCAUUACAAUUAUUAUUAUUAUUAUUAUUAAGUAGAUGUUUUAUAAAAUACUAUGGAUACAGUUAUUUUAAAUGUGAAAUCAUUCUCGGGGGGACCAAAGUAAAUUUGAAAUGAAAUACCAAUAAUAAAGUGUAUAAAAUACAUUGAUUACAACGCAGAUCGUUUGUGUUUUCUGUACAUGGAAAAGUAUGAAGAUGAUAUGUCAAGACUGAUCUGAAUAUUAAGGGUAAAUUCUCAUAGGUUCUCAUCUUAUAUUCUCAUAGGACAGGUGGUUUGAGGUGAACUUCAUAUUUAGUGUCGUAGUCAUGGACACACUCGUUCACUAGUACAGUUUUAGUUAGGCAGUUGUCAUUAGAGCAGAUGAGCAGACUGCUUUGACAUUUUUGACAUUUAAUUUAUUGGCAGCUGUCCUUAAGAUCCAAGCAUACUGGUUAUGGUUGUCAGGCAAUGAUUACAUAUUCCACAUUAGAGAGAUGAGUAUAGCAUCUUAGCGUGGCAGAGACGUUUACUGCUAAAUUUGACACAAUAUCAAUCUUAUUGGCUCUGAUUCUUAAGUAUAACAACUCUAUAAAGUUGUCAGUGGUCUGUGUCGUUAGUCGAUCAAUAGAAGCUUUUCACCUGUUAGUUACUAAGUUUAUUCUUAAAGUGGUCACACACACACAGUUGGCGUAGUAUGUCCAUAACAGUUAAACAGUUUUCAUCUGUCUUUGGUUCUUUCUUUGAAAUUUUAUCAUCCACGGUUCUCAUAAAUAUUCAAAAAGGUUUGACAGUAAUCAAUACAGCACAUCAUACGUGUGGAAUAAUGCAGUCCCCUGAUGCAGUGUGCAGCUCUGACGCCUUGUUCCUGUAGGAGGACUCAUGUCAGCAGUGAUCGAUCACUCAGGGGCCACCCAUCACCGAGUGACGCUGACAAGUUGAAAGAGCUUUUGUUUUUUUUUUCCCUCUGAGAUGAAUGGAGGUGUGACUUUAUUGAAUAUCAAAACAUGAUCUCCAUAGUUUACCAUUAUGCAGUCAGUGUCCUCCAGUCCUUGAGGACAAUCUUGAAUUUGAAUAUCAAAUAUGUCGAUCACAUCGCUGAUAUAGACUAGAAAUCAGAUGUAUGACUUUUUAAAAACAAGAAAGCAUGAACAUAAUUUUAGUUCUGGUUCAGCAGAUAUAUUUUACUAGAAAAACUCAAAUUUAAAGAGGUAUUUCAGUACCUUUAAGUAUUUUUAUCGCUGGCUUUUAAGCUGGGACAUUUGAGGAGCUGAGAGACAGAUACAAAUGGAUUCUAUUUUCAAACACCUGCUGUGUCUAGACAACCUAAAUAUGCCAAUAGCUGAUCUGGCACACUGUCACUGGAGGCUUCGGGCCUAAAAAUCUCUCCUGGCAAAGAAAGAUUGUACUUGAACACAUGUGGGUAGAUGUUUUGUGCCUCUGGGUUGUUUGAUGAGAUGAAAAGAAAACUCUUUUUAUUCUAAAUUCAAAGACUCGCACACUUAGGGAGAGGAAAGCUCACUUUGUCUGUACCCAGAGGGGGUGUCAGCACGCAAAGUUUCCCACUCGGCUCUUUAUUCUGGUACAAAAAUACUCAAUAUCCACAUGCUGUAGCCUUCCUACACAAUAGGCUUUUCCUUUUUGUGUGAAAAUUCUGCAGAGUGGAAAAUACCACCUGCUGCCCUAUAAAGCUAAUGCUUGUCUCCAGGCGAGCAGUUAUCCCCUUACCUGCAGUGGCUAGAAGUUAUUUUUUUCCUUUUCUUGCCAAUCCCAGGCAGAGUCUAAAAUGGUGUUGAUAUGUUAGCACAAAGAAAAAAGACUGAAAUAGGAGAACUUAUUCUGCUCAGAAACUAUUUCAGGCACACCGAUCAAUAGUGCUUUUAAUUCAAACAAAGCCGAGCCAAAACACCAGAAUCCAGAAAUGAAAAAUUGACAACAUAUAAUGAAGACUUUUCCUUUUCUUACAAACAGUAAGUAAAUAAUGAAGAUGUUAAAACUUUUAGUCUCUUUUUUUAACAUGAAUCUCUACAAGGAAAGAGAGGAUGAAGUACAGAAUUUUUCACUCUAGAUUAUUUAAAAUAUCGCAGUUAAUAAUGAUAAUGAUAAUUAUGAGUUAAGUUUUAAUGAAAAAGAAACUUUCAGAUCCCUCUUGGGGAAAGUUUCUAGUAUGCAAUCCCAAAUCCCUUCUUAUGUGGUAAUCCUCAAAUCCGGAUAAAUUUGAUCUUCACUAGUUUUUCUCUGUAAAAGUGGGAUUAAAGAAAGCUUUGUUAACUGAUCCAGGAUAGCAUAAAAGUGGAGCUUCAGAUCCAGGUAACUCUUGAGCAAAGUAAACCUUUUGAACAACUGGGUACUGACCAUGUUGGGGAUGAAAGGGUUGUAAUGCGAAUUAAAAACCAGACAAGGUGAGCAAGACCUGACACAGCGGGUCUUGGAUCAGCCGGAAAGGGAUCUAACUUUCACAACCACGUUUACUAAACACUGUCCUUCACAUUUCCAAGAUCACGCUGCUUUCAUUCAAGGAGACAUGCAGUGACCUGUCAAUCAAAUGACCCACCGCUGGUGCAGUAAACGCCACAGUGAACGCUGCAUCAUACGCCCUGCAUCCCAUAUCUAAUUCAUUUACUUUCAGCAGUUAGCUCAGAGUUAAAGCAUCAGUUUUGUGUUUUUUAUUUGUCCGAUAACUCGCUAAUUAAUUAACGGUGUGAUCACCAACGAUCGCGCGCUAAUGCUAAUACUUGGCAUACGUGAGCUCCGCUGCACUUAUGUAUACUAAUACACAUGAGUCCAAGGUAGAGCCAUGUAAGAAAAAAAUGAAUUUUUAAAAGUGUGGCGGUGUACCACGAUCAAUAGCAUAUAGGGGAAACUGUUAUCUAGCGCUGUGUCUUCCUCAGCAAUGUAAACAAACAAUGUUGCCAGCAUUAUGCUGACUGCGGCUGCGAAGUGCAAGCUUUUGGCUGAGUGUUACUUACAGUUGACUUUAGAUAAGCUAAAAAGCAACGUUAAGUACUAUGUGAAUGUAAAAAAGCAUUGAUAAAAAUGUACUGUUUUUUGUUCUGUUUGAUUUCAAGAGAAUCUUGGAUAAAUAAUUGAAUUAAAUACUAAAAGGACAAGUUUUGUUUAUUUUCACUUUGGUUAAAUUCACUGUUAUAUUAAUCAGUUCAUAAAAAAAUAAUAAUCGAUAAAUUAGUUGACUAAUUGAAAAAAUAAUCGUUAGAUUAAUCGAUAAAAAAUUCAUCGUUAGGUACAGCCCUAUAUCUUUCGGAGGAGCCUUUUUUAUUCUGCAUCUUUUAUCUCUCUGUUGACCAAUGAACUCUGAGUGUGAAACAACAUGAAUAAAUAUAAAAAGUGUUUCCCUCCCUGAUGAAUCAUGGUUUUGGGUUGUUGAGUAAUUCGCCACUAAAAACAGUCCCCCACCUCUUUAUCACCUUCAGCCAGUUUAGCAGACUGGACCAGAGGAAACCAAAGCCUGAAGCGGCCCACUCACAUGCUACCUCACUUCUAUCUGCCUGCUCCUUUCUGUCUCUCUGUUUAAACUCCCAUUAACCAUUCACACUUAAUGGUUCUGGUAUUUCAGACAAUUUAAAGCCCCUCUCCGGCAGAGAGGACGGUGUGAUCGAGCGUGGCGGAGAGCUAAUUGAAGUCCGCUGACACCAUUAGCUAACUGCCAUCGGACUGAUAGCCAGUCGUAUAACAGGAGGCUGAGGGCUGAGCGAGAGAGACAGCUAGUGAUGAAGAACACAACAGUGAUUUCUUUCUCACAGGUCAGAGCGUGUCAACCUUAACAAGCUAAAGAGGGAGGGUGACAUGAAGGCAAAUACGGGUGGAAAUGCUUGAUUAUGCAGAGAUCAAAACCGAGAACAGCUUAGUAUUCACAGGCUCAUAUUUUGAUGUCUGUUUUUCACACAGUCUUGUAAUUAUUGUCAAAAUCUUUGAACAGAAGCAGCUACUGUACUGGUCCAGAACUGUGACACAAGGGGGGAAAAAGCUUUAUCAGUCUAAUCUGCAAAGGUCAUUGAAUUCAGUGACCUACCAGCUGCUGUCACAUACUGGCCUUUAUCUCUGCGCCUCACGUUAAUGCGCCGUGACUGUUGCCAUUGCUGAAAGGACUAACAAGGGUACGAUUGCGCAAAAGGGGCUUCAUUGUGGUGUAAAAGAAGACAGUGACAUUGCGUGCGUGUUUUUCAGCGUCUAAGUGCUCUUAAGGUGUAUAAGGCAUGAGUAUGUAUUAUGUAAGAUGAGUUUUUAAGUAUCUUCCAGCACCCUCUCUGGCAGUUGCCCACAGUGGAAAUCAAGCCUGCAGCCCUGGCAGUCUCAACAAUUGUAAAUCAUUAAACUAACCCCAGUCUGGCUUCAGGAGCGUAACAGAAGGAGCCUAAACAGGCCAGCAACAUGCUGAUCCGUGCCAUCGUCUCCCCCACUGUGCCAUGGAUUUGAUUUGGCUGCGACUGUCUUUAUUUCCCCUGGGCUGCACAGCUAUCACAGAGAGGCAAGGAGGUGAGCCAUCCCGCUGAAUGAAAAUACUCCCACAGAUGUGCAGUAUGUGAGGGACUAGCCCCUGGGACCAAUACCGGCUAAUGGCUAUCUGAUUGACUGGGCAAAGAGAGGAAGAGAGGCGAGGAAGUGAAGACGGGGAGUGCAGGGAGGUGACUAGCCUGUCUGCGUGUUUGUCUUUGAAUAUAAACUAUGCAGGGCAUGUUUAUGCAUGCUUAUGAGUCUGUGGUGUGUUUUUAUAUGUGCACUCUCUGUCCCCUCAUGCCUCUCAGCUUGUGUCCGUAAUGAGGGCUGCUUACAGUAUAAUGAAAGAUGCGGUCAGAUAAUGGAGGAGGUAAUUACUCGAGCGUGCAGCAGCCGCUGGUUAAGAAUAACAUCAUUGAUCGUACAGAUGUGGCAGCAUGACAGGCUGGAGAGGGAGCACAAAAGAAAAGAAAAGAAAAGAGGGAAAAAUCCACCCCGAAAAUAAACAGCUCAUCUGUCUGCCAUCCAAUCAAGGCAGCAGAGGCAUGUGCUACACAAGUGAGCAGAGUGAGCGUAUGCACGAACACACAAGCAUAUUCCAGCCCAGUGAAUUCCCUCCACAGGGGAAAUCUGCAGCUCUGUGAGUGAACCGUGGUUCAAACGGCUCCACUGAGCAGGGAAAUAUUUUGACUCAAGCCUAAAACACACAGGAUGCGUGUUUGGCGCGUUAUGUCAGCAUCACCUGCUAUGCUGCAAAUACGUUUGCAUGCAUAGACAUAAUAUGUAGACGCCUCAUUAAGUGCUGGAGCGUAAUCCAGCAUUGCCACCAUAUUGGAUGGGUCUACUCCUCUCACUCUAGGCUUCCACUUGAGGCGAACAGUGUCAACGGUUGCAAAAACCUAGUGUAAGGAUGCCAAGCCUAUGUUUACACUCGAAAGAAUGGAAGGUGCAUAAAUUAGACUCUCUCCAACAUAACAGUUUCAUGCCAUGUAAGAUAAGAUAAGAUGGACAUGGACACACCCACAUGCUGCACACAUAUUAUCCUUCACACACAACACAAAUUAGCUCAACCCACAACCCAUCAUCUCCAGCAGGGAUCGUUCCUUCAUAUUGAUUUCCUCUCAGAUAGCUGCAUGUAAGGCAUUAGGUUCUCUCUCUGGUUUCCCAGUUUCUUUGAGCCGCGGCUUUGUCGGAGCAUCUGUUCGCCUUUGUAAACAUUACCAGUGUGCCAAUAACAUGCAAUAAUUACAUGCACAUAUAAAGGACUUAAAUUCAUCAUAUAGACUAAAUUUACCGACAAAAUGUUGCAUUGAGGCGGCAAACAAGGUGGCAAGUUCAGUUGUUUAAUUCCAGCAGGACUCCACCCAGAACUGGUAAUUAUGGGCCCAGAUCUGCCCUUGAGUUAGCUUCAGAGUGCACACAUAUAUGUGUGUCUGUUUGUAUGUGUGCUAAUAUGUAUGGGGGGCUUUGUGUGUGCAGGGGUAAUUGCACAGGCUGUAGCAUUUCAUUACAAUAGAGGGCCUGGCGGCUAGGUGCUUCAAUGUCUGUCCCCAGAGGCUGCCUUUCUCCAUGAGCUCUAUGCAAUCAAUCCACUGACCUGCACAGCAAAGAAGGAGAGAUGGAUGUGAACAGGUGGACAGAGGGAUGGAUGGAUGGAUAGAAGAGAGAUAGAGGGAGGGAGAAAGAGACAGUCAGGGACUGAAGCAUGGCAAACAGGAUUGACGACAGAAAACUCCACUAGCAUAGAAAUCCCUUCAUUUCUGUCAGGAGGCCUCCUGUGGGCAGCUGGGAGAAAACGAACAAAGUCAGAGGCGCUGGAGAAAAGAGAAGAGAGGAAUACUGAACAAGUAUGACAGUGAAAACGGCCUCCUUUCGUCCUCCCUCCAUCCCUGAAGAGCGACUCUGUGACCACAGUCACGUACACUAAAUGCACACCUUCCCUGCAUCCUCCUGACAUGCUCAAACAACAAAUAAAAGAGUAUAAACUAUAAAGAGUCAAAUAAUCUUCAGGAAAUAUUGACAUUUCACUAUGAAAACUUUGCUGGUCUCAUUUAAACUUGUAGAGAGUGACAAUCAAGUAAAAAUAAUGAGUCAUAAGGAAACAGCCUGUAGUUUUAUUAUGUUUGUACCACACUUUAUUAUUUCAAUGAUCAAUUUUUGAAUAAAUGUCCAUAUUGAAAUAAAGCAACAGUGAUGCUGAUAAACAGAUUAAAAGAUGUGUGCCCAGCUCCUAAUUAGUGCAGAAAAGUUUGUUUGUUUCUCUUUUUUGUCUGAUUUAAUGUGAGUUACUUAUCAAAAGACAAAACACUGAAAUAGAAACAGAAAUUAAGAAAAGCUCAAAACUUUCAAUCCAAUCUAUUUGUCAGUCCAUUGAAUACAAAUCUGACACCAUUUGAACCCAGUAAACCAUCUCACAAAGGUAGAUAAAAAAUAAAGAAAAACAAACAGAACUCACCCACCCUCCUCCAGCAGCCGCUUGUUUGUGGGGGAGCCCUGACGAGUCAAUCACAGAGUGCAGCGCAGUUUCACAGCUCAAGGAAGAACAUUUAUGAUUAUUACUUCAUGGAAAUGCAAUCAGACCUAGACGCUGAGGCAGAAGAACUACCGCAUCUGCAGUGCAAAAUGAUUAUUAUGAUGAUUAUUACUUCAAGGAAAUGAUCCGCUGCACUCAGUGAUCGAUUCGUCAGGGCUACCCCCACAAAAACAAGUGGUUGCUAGUGGAGAGUGGGUGAGUUGUGUUUAGUCUCUUUGCUAAAGAAAUUAGGGUGGCUAGUACUAUGGCGGGGACCCUAUAUGUACUGUUGAUGAAGUUAGGUGCUGUUCUGAGCAUUAUUUAUGACUAUAGAGUAGCACUUUGGUUGAGGUUUGUGCAUGGAGACGGAGACCACUGCAUAUUGCUAUCAUGCAGUCACUGCUGAAGUUGGUAUAACUAGAGAAGCAAGCAGUCGGUAACAUUCAUCUCUUGAGGGGGCGUCUGACAAUAACUUAAAUUUAUGCCAGAAUAUCCCUUUAACAACUCCAAGAGCUGCCAAAACGUCAUGAUAAAAGGUAUAACAAGGUUAUUGCACAGGAGUAAGCUUAACAAAUAUGGCAUUAUCAUCUCCAAAGAUUCACAAGAAGCAGAGAACAGAACAGAGGCACUUUCCUUGACAGUGUUAUUAUUUAUUAUUCUACUUAAGACAGGAAGUGGGGGUAUCUUGGAGACAAUAGCUUUCAUGGAAGGAAAUGACUCAGCAGUGAGCGUAAGUGAUACUAAGCUGCAGAUAGAGCAGAGAUAGAGGGUGUGGUAUUACAAACAGUCCUGGACAGAUAUUACGAGAAAGACAUCAUUCAAAAAGCAUCAGAAAAUCAAGAGGUAGGAGGAAAAACUGCUUUUCUAUUAGCAUGCUGAUGUUAGUGCUGCAGAUAAACCUGAACACUUAAGUAGAUUUAGUAAUCAGACUGUUACAUUUUUAAGAGCAUGAUAAUGUUCCUCACACUGACAAUGUGGUGACAGCAUGACUGACAGCAAUGGGAAGUACUCCCCAUCAUAAAACAACUGAUACUUCCCCUUGCUGCAAAAAUCUGUCAGUUACAUUGUCAGGUUUUGUUAUUUAGCUUAAAGCACUCUACCUGAAUGUAUUCAACGUAGAUAAGUUCAGUUUAACCAAGCUCUGGAGCCUUGAGAGUGAACUUUCUCCUGUGGUUUGAAAUGACAUUUCUGAUGAGUUUGUUUUGGUCCACCAAAUGGCCGUAGAGCUCCUCCCUUGACACCAAAGUAAUACGGUAGAUUCCCUCUAAAGUGAUGCUACAGCGUGGCACACUUUUGAGCAGUAUAGAAGUGUAAUUUAAAAGUUGUACCCUGUCCAAUUUUUUCUGAAGGGUAAUCAACAACAGAGGACGUCAAAGUGCUGUGCUGGAAAGUCUAUGUGAUCAGACUGCAGUAUGAUUCAGGAAUAGGAACCUAUAGUGUAGGAAACACACUCGGCUAUAUAAGCAAGGAAACAGGAAGCAGUGCCUUAAACCUGGAAUGUGACUCUUAACUUUUCUUUGUAACAGCGCUCUCUUUUCCCUCACCCCAAAUGUAAACAGGAUCGCCUCUCCCUCUGAGGUCGUUUACUGAACACAAUGGCAGCUUUGAUCCGCAGUAACGAGAAAAGGAAAAAAAGUAUAUUAACACUGAGACUGUCCGGGAAAAGCAGCAUUUAGCUUCCUGAUACAUUUCACACAACUCUGUCUCUUUUUAUUUCAUGGGUCUGCUGUAUAGUUUUAAAGUGAAAGUGGGGUACAUCGUGUCUUUCACUAAUAGAGGCAAUACUGUAUGCCAACGGUGGCAUAUGGGAUGAAAGAAGCAGUGCAGUGUUUUUACAAAUUCCCCUUUUUUAUAUUACUUUCAAUUUCUUUUGUGAUUUUGCACAGCCAUGAUCAUGAAAACAACAUCAUUGAGAUUGAACAAGUACUGCGUCACCUGCUGUGAUGUUCUCAUUUUGUCUGCGUCACUCUGCAAUAGUCCACCAUAUAGUUCGCUGGUUAGCGGUGCGAUGUCGAUGCUUGUCGUAUCACCAGUUUGAAGUCCUGCUAUGUUCCCUCCUUGUUUGUGUUGAAUGUAGAUAAAUAUUGUGCUGCAGUUGAUCGUGCUUUCAUUAUUUUAUAGAACAACAAGGGGAGACAUCAGAGGAGAUGGUCAAUAAGGAGGUAGAGGAUGGAGGUGAUACUGGAAAUGUUAUUCCAAAGCAGAUUCAGUGUUGGGCUUGCAGUUCAAUUUGUUUUAACAUGUAGUUGGGCUUUUGAGUUAGCAUCAAGCGAAGGCUGUAAUUAACCAAAGAAAUUCUUGGUCGACUAAAACCCUGAAAUUUUCAACCAUUGAUUGACUUGGAUGCUCUUCAAUCUUCCUGUCUCUAGCUGGUCUCCAGUGGGUUGGGCGAAACCAAAAUGAUGAAAACAAGGGGCGUUUUCUGAGACAGGCUGUUACUUGUGAAACGGGGGUGCUCUGAAAACACCAGCAUUAGCAAUUGGUACGUUCCUCCUGAUGAAAUUGACCAUAGACUGUAAAUUGACGCAGAAAAAAAUUGAGUCGACCCAUCAGAAUUUUGGUCGACUCAGCACGUAUCGAACAAUAAGUCAACCAGUCGACUAGGACUUUACAGCCCUACAUCAAGCACAUGGGCCUCUGCAAAGGGUACAGAGCAACACCUAUGGCUACAUCAUGCAGGCCUAUCAUGUAGGCUGUGGGACUAUGGCGUAGGUCCAACAUAGAAGCAUAAACCAGGGUUAAGAAGGAUAGAGAACCAUGGUCAGUAUUGGGCUGGCAUUUUCCUGGUCACCCACUCAUGUGUGGGUCUACUGGCUUUAACUUUAGACUGUAUAUAACUGAACACUGUUGAUAUCAUUCAAUUGUUUCAAUCAAUCAAUCAGAUUUUAUUAGUACAGCACUUUUAAUACACUGAGAUGGAGCACAAAAUGCUUUACCUAAACAGAAAGUCCUUGAAAUCACUCAAAACCCAAAAUUAUGAAAGGUUAAAGACAAGCAGACGACAAGUAAUAAUAAUAACUGCUGAUUGAGAGUUUCACUUGUAUUAAUUACAGUUUGGGGACAACCCGAACCACUCAUCCCUCUUUGUUGUCAUUUUAAACUACAUCAAAUAAUAUCCAAGCAGAUGCCUUUUAAAAGUUUCCAUGUGAUAGUAAUAUCAAAUAUUACAGCUGCACUACAGCCCCAUGACAUAAUAGACCACAACAAGAGAGCGAUCAGGACAUUUGCAGUCCAUACAGCCUUGCACUCAAAGUUAACUCUAUUAACCAGCAGUCAGUCUUGUGUGUGGUUGAUCUGUACUUCUCUUCAACUAUCUUUGUCAGAGACGAUGUACAUUUACUCUUCGGCGCUCCCAUCAUAGGCCCGCAGACUCUCAGCUCUGUUCACGUUUGUAAUUCCAGCUGACUGAUUUCACCGCCAGGACUUGAGCGAUCUCUCUU